AGCUCCAAUAGCGUAUAUUAAAGUUGUUGCAGUUAAAAAGCUCGUAGUCGGAUUUCGGGGCGGGCCGAGCGGUCUGCCGAUGGGUAUGCACUGUUCGGCGCGUCCUUCUUUCCGGAGACUAGUUCUACUCUUAACUGAGCGGGACUGGGAGACGGAUCGUUUACUUUGAAAAAUCAGAGUGUUUCAAGCAGGCAGCUCGCUCUUGCAUGGAUUAGCAUGGGAUAAUGAAAUAGGACUUUGGUGCUAUUUUGUUGGUUUCGAACACCGAAGUAAUGA
rnacentral:rRNA from 1 species